rnacentral:rRNA from 1 species
UACGUAGGGGGCUAGCGUUGUUCGGAAUUACUGGGCGUAAAGGGCGCGUAGGCGGCGCGGUAAGUCGGGUGUGAAAUCUUGGAGCUUAACUCCGAAACUGCAUUCGAUACUGCCGUGCUUGAGGACUGGAGAGGAGACUGGAAUUUACGGUGUAGCGGUGAAAUGCGUAGAUAUCGUAAGGAAGACCAGUGGCGAAGGCGGGUCUCUGGACAGUUCCUGACGCUGAGGCACGAAGGCCAGGGGAGCAAACGGG